AUUGAACGCUGGCGGCAUGCCUUACACAUGCAAGUCGAACGGCAGCACGUCCCCUCGGGGAUGGUGGCGAGUGGCGAACGGGUGAGUAAUACAUCGGAACGUACCCAGGAGUGGGGGAUAACGUAGCGAAAGUUACGCUAAUACCGCAUAUUCUGUGAGCAGGAAAGCGGGGGAUCGCAAGACCUCGCGCUCUUGGAGCGGCCGAUGUCGGAUUAGCUAGUUGGUGAGGUAAAAGCUCACCAGGGCGACGAUCCGUAGCAGGUCUGAGAGGAUGAUCUGCCACACUGGGACUGAGACACGGCCCAGACUCCUACGGGAGGCAGCAGUGGGGAAUUUUGGACAAUGGGGGCAACCCUGAUCCAGCCAUGCCGCGUGAGUGAAGAAGGCCUUCGGGUUGUAAAGCUCUUUCGGCGGGGAAGAAAUGGCAACGGCUAAUAUCCGUUGUUGAUGACGGUACCCGCAUAAGAAGCACCGGCUAACUACGUGCCAGCCGCAGCAGUAACAC
rnacentral:rRNA from 1 species